GAAAUAUUGGUGUGAUUUAAUGAGAUGGGGAGGGAGGGAAGAAGGGAAAGAAGGAGGAAGAAUGGAGCUGAGAUGGGCAGUCAUCAAAACAUCUUCUAAUGAAAAUGUCUUUUUGAAAAGUCAACUUACCAUAAGGAAGAAUUUACUCCUUGGGCAAGAAACUCUGUCUCAGCAAUAUGCUCACUCCCCCGAGUUUGUUAUUCAAGCUUUUUUUUUUUUUUUUUUUUUUUUUUCAUUAUCACCCUGACCUUUGUCUUUCUUCAAAGCCACCUCCACCCUCUGGGCCCCUUCCCUGCAAGUAGCCUCUGCAGCUAUGGAAUUUGAAAGGUAUACCCCAACAGCUGGGCUUUUGAUGUGGGCUGAGCUGCUGGCUUUCUUAGUGCUUUUCAAGCUAACUUCAGCUAUGUUUUUUAACCAGUCUAACUGGUUUUCUGUUUGUUCUUUAUGUCUCCCAGAAGAACGGCAAAACAUGAUAAGUCUCUGUUGCAUUCUUCCAUCACGUGACAGAAAAUCUCAGAUGGAGAGAAGGGGUGAAGCUAGAAGGGAGGCAUCAGUGGAGGAUGGAAGGUAAAUUACACCAGAAGAGACAGACAGACAACAGAGAUAGGCUUUGUUGGCCAACAGGGAAAGGCUGACAUUGCGUGCAUGAAUAAAUUGAUAGCAAGCACUAUUGGCA
rnacentral:lncRNA from 1 species